rnacentral:rRNA from 1 species
CCUACGGGAGGCAGCAGUGAGGAAUAUUGGUCAAUGGGCGCGAGCCUGAACCAGCCAAGUCGCGUGAGGGAAGACGGUCCUAUGGAUUGUAAACCUCUUUUGCCGGGGAGCAAAAGACGCCACGCGUGGCGUUCCGAGAGUACCCGAAGAAAAAGCAUCGGCUAACUCCGUGCCAGCAGCCGCGGUAAUACGGAGGAUGCGAGCGUUAUCCGGAUUUAUUGGGUUUAAAGGGUGCGCAGGCGGAAGAUCAAGUCAGCGGUAAAAUUGAGAGGCUCAACCUCUUCGAGCCGUUGAAACUGGUGUUCUUGAGUGAGCGAGAAGUAUGCGGAAUGCGUGGUGUAGCGGUGAAAUGCAUAGAUAUCACGCAGAACUCCGAUUGUGAAGGCAGCAUACCGGCGCUCAACUGACGCUCAUGCACGAAAGUGUGGGUAUCGAACAGGAUUAGAUACCCCUGUAGUC